CGGUUAGACUCACUGUUAAGGAAGCUGGAUGC
rnacentral:piRNA from 1 species